CCUACGGGCGGCAGCAGUGAGGAAUAUUGGUCAAUGGGCGGGAGCCUGAACCAGCCAAGUCGCGUGAAGGAAGAAGGUACUUAGUAUUGUAAACUUCUUUUGUCGGGGAACAAAGGCGGAGACGCGUCUCUGGAUGAGUGUACCCGAAGAAAAAGCAUCGGCUAACUCCGUGCCAGCAGCCGCGGUAAUACGGAGGAUCCGAGCGUUAUCCGGAUUUAUUGGGUUUAAAGGGAGCGUAGAUGGGUUGUUAAGUCAGUUGUGAAAGUUUGCGGCUCAACCGUAAAAUUGCAAUUGAUACUGGCAGUCUUGAGUACAGUUGAGGUAGGCGGAAUUCGUGGUGUAGCGGUGAAAUGCUUAGAUAUCACGAAGAACUCCGAUUGCGAAGGCAGCUUACUAAACUGCCACUGACAUUGAUGCUCGAAAGUGUGGGUAUCAAACAGGAUUAGAUACCCCAGUAGUC
rnacentral:rRNA from 1 species